rnacentral:lncRNA from 10 species
AUGUGAUUGGAUGAAAGGAAGCCCCGAUAGCUGGUAACAUGGUAGUUCUGGUGUUUCUGUGAGGGUGUUUCUGGAAGGGACUGGCAUUUGAGUCAGUGGACUGGGUAAGAACGAUCCAUCCUCACCUAGUGUUGGUUAGCAUUGUCUAAUUUGCUUAGGGCCCAGAUAGAGCAAAGGUGAAUCCUCUUCCUCCCCUGGAGCAGGGCAACCCUCUUUCUGCACUUGGACAUCAGAACUCCAGGUUCUCUGGCAUUUGAACUCCAAGACUUGCACCAGCAGCUCCCCUGCUUGGACUGAGUAACAACAUUGGCUUCCCUGAAGGACCUUGGACUUGGACUGAGCCCCUCACUACUGUGGGGAGACCCCCUGAAACUAUUGCUACGGAAUAAAAGAUGAAAUGCUCCUGAUUAUUGUAAAUACAAAGUAGCAUGCAGGAUUGUGUAAAGACAAUGCCAGGUUGGGCUGCCAGAAUGAGCCAACAGCACGUGAUGUGCUUCCCCCUGCAGAGAGCCUGUGAAUGGUCGUGCAGUCAGGGAGGUUUCACAUCACCAAGAUUCCUAGCCCAGAAAAGCAGAUGUUCAUAGCUCUGGGAAUGGAAUGCGACCCUUGUGGAGAGCCUAUAAACGGACGCAUGGGGGGUGCUUGCCCAUACAGAUAAGUUAGGGCUAUAAAUGCCCUCAUCUUGCCAC